CCUACGGGGUGCAGCAGUGGGGAAUAUUGCACAAUGGGGGAAACCCUGAUGCAGCGACGCCGCGUGAGCGAUGAAGUAUUUCGGUAUGUAAAGCUCUAUCAGCAGGGAAGAAGAUGACGGUACCUGACUAAGAAGCCCCGGCUAACUACGUGCCAGCAGCCGCGGUAAGACGUAGGGGGCAAGCGUUAUCCGGAUUUACUGGGUGUAAAGGGAGCGUAGACGGCGGUGCAAGCCAGAUGUGAAAGCCCGUGGCUUAACCACGGGACUGCAUUUGAAACUGUAUGGCUGGAGUGUCGGAGAGGCAGGCGGAAUUCCUAGUGUAGCGGUGAAAUGCGUAGAUAUUAGGAGGAACACCAGUGGCGAAGGCGGCCUGCUGGGCUUUUACUGACGCUGAGGCUCGAAAGUGUGGGGAGCAAACAGGAUUAGAUACCCCGGUAGUC
rnacentral:rRNA from 1 species